GACGAACGCUGGCGGCGUGCCUAAUACAUGCAAGUAGAACGCAGUUGCGAACGGGUGAGUAACGCGUAGGUAACUGCCUCAUAGCGGGGGAUAACUAUUGGAACCGAUAGCUAAUACCUCAUACUGUGAGAUGGACCUUCGUUGUAUUAGCUCGUUGGUGAGGUAAAGGAUCACCAAGCCGACGAUACAUAGCCGACCUGAGAGGGUGAUGAGCCACGCUUGGACUCAGAAAAGGCCCAGACUUCCACGGGAGGAAGCAGUAGGGAUUCUGCGGAAAUGGAAGGAAGUCUGACAGAACAAUGAUGAGUGAGGGAAGAAGGGUUUCGGUUUGUAAAGCUCUGUUGUUAGAGAAGCGGUAACUAACCAGAAAGUUACGGCUAACUACGUGCCAGCAGCCGCGGUAAUAC
rnacentral:rRNA from 1 species